AUACUUACCUGGCAGGGAGAUACUUGUGACCAUGAAGGUGGUUUUCUCAGGGCAAGGUUUAUCCAUUGCACUGUGGAUGUGCAGAUCCCUGAGAUUCCUGCAAUGUGGGAAACUUGACUUGCAUACUUUGUGGUAGUGGGGACUGUGUACAUGCUUUCUCCUG